rnacentral:rRNA from 1 species
UACGGGGGGAGCAAGCGUUGUUCGGAUUUACUGGGCGUAAAGGGCGCGUAGGCGGUCCGCCAAGUCAGGGGUGAAAUCCUGCAGCUUAACUGUAGAAGUGCCUCUGAUACUGGCGGUCUUGAGGGAAAUAGGGGUGUGCGGAACUUCCAGUGGAGCGGUGAAAUGCGUUGAUAUUGGAAGGAACGCCGGAGGCGAAAGCGGCGCACUGGAUUUCUUCUGACGCUGAGGCGCGAAAGCUAGGGGAGCAAACGGG